AAAGACAGACAGUAAUUCGGUACUUACUACAUUAAAAAAAUCUGAAGUAAUGAAAACCUCUCUAAAUAUGGAUAUCAUUACACAUUUACAACACAAGGGGAGUGUGGUUUAUAUACCUGGAUGGAAACAGAAAGCCAUGUUAUAUCCAACUUGGUUUGAGACUUGUCUUAAUGCAUUAAAAAACCCUGGAGAUAAAGUUGGUUCACAAGCUACUUGUGUUGAGCAGGAAACCUUGGCUUGGACACAAAAACAACUGUUGAAACUUAUUCCCUCACAGAAUGAUUCGUUAGAAGAAAUGCUGCCUUAUUUAGGAAUCAUAAAAAUUCCUUGUUUGCGUAUCAAAAAUACAGAUGAACAUUUUUUAUACACUCUACCUCAAUAUAUCAUGAC